rnacentral:rRNA from 1 species
GAUGAACGCUGGCGGCGUGCCUAAUACAUGCAAGUCGAGCGAACAGACGAGGAGCUUGCUCCUCUGAUGUUAGCGGCGGACGGGUGAGUAACACGUGGAUAACCUACCUAUAAGACUGGGAUAACUUCGGGAAACCGGAGCUAAUACCGGAUAACAUGUUGAACCGCAUGGUUCAACAGUGAAAGACGGUCUUGCUGUCACUUAUAGAUGGAUCCGCGCCGCAUUAGCUAGUUGGUAAGGUAACGGCUUACCAAGGCAACGAUGCGUAGCCGACCUGAGAGGGUGAUCGGCCACACUGGAACUGAGACACGGUCCAGACUCCUACGGGAGGCCGCAGUAGGGAAUCUUCCGCAAAGGGCGAAAGCCUGACGGAGCAACGCCGCGUGAGUGAAGAAGGUCUUCGGAUCGUAAAACUCUGUUAUUAGGGAAGAACAAAUGUGUAAGUAACUAUGCACGUCUUGACGGUACCUAAUCAGAAAGCCCCGGCUAACUACGUG